rnacentral:lncRNA from 1 species
UAGCACCUGAGAUGAGAAACAAACCAACAUCAAGGUGAAAAGAAGCAACAAUUAUAUUUCAAAUUUGAACCCAAGACAUCUCCAUAAUGUACACCCAAGACCAAGUUCUAACUUUAGCCUGAUUCCAAAUAACUAACAACCAACGAUUAAAAAAACAUCACCAACAUUUGGCUUAAACAUGGAACCACAACAUCUUGAUAGCCCUCAAAGAACAAAACAGCAAAAAAUCCAAAGAUGACAGGAUGUUGUAGACAUCAAGAAAUGUCAGUAGCUUUGGAGCCAUCCUCAAUAUUGAAAUAUGUUCAUGUACACUCUUGCAUUAUGCAUCUUCUUCUUUUAGAAUGGAAAUGUUCUGUGCAUUGUUUAAUCAGCAAUAGGGUCUUGCUUGAUGAUUGUUGUACAACUGUCAUUCAAAUGAAAUUUUGGUCUCUUGUAGGUUAAAAGGAGUUCUAAUGAGAGUAUUUGACAAGGGUCAUCGAGGUCUCCAAAAGUUAGGACCUGCAAUAAAAGAAGACAAGUUUAGCAUUUGUUUAAAACAAAAUAAAAUUCAACAAAGGGUAAGAACCUCUAGUUGCCAUGGGAACUGGUGCUUCAGGGUAUGGUCUAUGAUUUGAAGGUCGGACGGGAUAAUGCCA